AGCCCACUAGCUAGCUCACACCCCAAAACUCAACAACCAAUAUUAAUAACCCCAAAUAACCUUAAAUACUAAGAAUCAAACCAUUUUACCCCCCAAGUAUGGGCGACAGAAAAGGACAAACCUGAAGCAACAGCAACAGUACCGCAAGGGAACGCUGAAAGAGAAGUGAAACAAAUCAGUAAAGCACAAAAAAGCAGAGCUUAACCCUUGUACCUUUUGCAUCAUGAUUUAGCAAGAAACCAUCAAGCAAAAAGAGUCUUUAGUUUGAUUCCCCGAAACCAAGUGAGCUACUCCAAGACAGCCUCUAAGGGCGCACCCGUCUCUGUGGCAAAAGAGUGGGAAGAUCUUUGAGUAGAGGUGACAGACCUACCGAACUUGGUUAUAGCUGGUUAUCCACGAAAUGAAUAGGAGUUCAGCCUUUUUUCAUCUUUCCCCACAACCCGGCUACGCCUAAAGAGCCUAAGAUAGAUUAAAGAGUUAGUCGAAGGGGGUACAGCCCCUUUGAAAAAGAUACAACUUUCCCAGAAGGGUUAAGAUCAUAAUAUUCACUAAGGGAAAAUGUCCUAGUUGGCCUAAGAGCAGCCACCCACACAGAAAGCGUUAAAGCUCAGACACACCCCGCCCCUCCCUAUUAUCACGACCACAAAAUCUUACCCCCCUGAAUAUAGUGGAUCCCUCCAUACUUUUAUGGAAGAGAUUAUGCUAAUAUGAGUAAUAAGAGGCCCAAUGAGCCUCUCCUUGCACAAGUAUACACCGGAACGAACCCACACCGGAAAUUAACGGCCCCAAAAAGAGGGUACUGGAGUACCAUGGCCAAACCACUAGAAAAGCAUCCACCAACCCAACCGUUGACCUUACACCAGAGUGCCUAUUAGGAAAGACUAAAAGAAAAAGAAGGAACUCGGCA
rnacentral:rRNA from 1 species